rnacentral:tRNA from 1 species
GGGGAUUUAGCUCAGCGGCCUAAGCGCCUGCCUUGCAAGCAGGCAGUCGUGAGUUCAGUCCUCA